rnacentral:sRNA from 1 species
GCUGGGUAUGUGGUACACUCCUGUAACCCCAGUGACUCAGGAGGCUGAGGCAGGAGGAUUGAAAGUGCCAAACCAGUCUAGGCAACUUAUCAAGACUCUGUCUCAA